AUUGAACGCUGGCGGCAGGCUUAACACAUGCAAGUCGAGCGGGGUGAUGGUGCUUGCACUAUCACUUAGCGGCGGACGGGUGAGUAAUGCUUAGGAAUCUGCCUAUUAGUGGGGGACAACAUCUCGAAAGGGAUGCUAAUACCGCAUACGUCCUACGGGAGAAAGCAGGGGAUCACUUGUGACCUUGCGCUAAUAGAUGAGCCUAAGUCGGAUUAGCUAGUUGGUGGGGUAAAGGCCUACCAAGGCGACGAUCUGUAGCGGGUCUGAGAGGAUGGUCCGCCCCACUGGGACUGAGACACGGCGCAGACUGCGACGGGAGGCAGCAGUGGGGAAUAUUGGACAAUGGGGGGAACCCUGAUCGAGCCAUGCCGCGUGUGUGAAGAAGGCCUUAUGGUUGUAAAGCACUUUAAGCGAGGAGGAGGCUCUUUUGGUUAAUACCCAAGAUGAGAGGACGUUACUCGCAGAAUAAGCACCGGCUAACUCUGUGCCAGCCGCCGCCGUAA
rnacentral:rRNA from 1 species